rnacentral:rRNA from 1 species
UGGGGAAUAUUGGCCAAUGGGCGAAAGCCUGAUCCAGCCAUGCCGCGUGUGUGAAGAAGGUCUUCGGAUUGUAAAGCACUUUAAGUUGGGAGGAAGGGCAUUAACCUAAUACGUUAGUGUUUUGACGUUACCGACAGAAUAAGCACCGGCUAACUCUGUGCCAGCAGCCGCGGUAAUACAGAGGGUGCAAGCGUUAAUCGGAAUUACUGGGCGUAAAGCGCGCGUAGGUGGUUUGUUAAGUUGGAUGUGAAAUCCCCGGGCUCAACCUGGGAACUGCAUUCAAAACUGACUGACUAGAGUAUGGUAGAGGGUGGUGGAAUUUCCUGUGUAGCGGUGAAAUGCGUAGAUAUAGGAAGGAACACCAGUGGCGAAGGCGACCACCUGGACUAAUACUGACACUGAGGUGCGAAAGCGUGGGGAGCAAACA